rnacentral:rRNA from 1 species
GACGAACGCUGGCGGCGUGCUUAACACAUGCAAGUCGAACGAAGAGCGAUGGACGCUUGCUUCUAUCAAUCUUAGUGGCGAACGGGUGAGUAACGCGUAAUCAACCUUCCCUUCAGAGGGGGACAACAGUUGGAAACGACUGCUAAUACCGCAUACGAUCUAAUCUCGGCAUCGAGGAUAGAUGAAAGGUGGCCUCUACAUGUAAGCUAUCACUGAAGGGGGGGAUUGCGUCUGAUUAGCUAGGUGGGGGGGUAACGGCCCACCAAGGCGAUGAUCAGUAGCCGGUCUGAGAGGAUGAACGGCCACAUUGGGACUGAGACACGGCCCAGACUCCUACGGGAAGGAGCAGGGGGGAAUCUUCCGCAAUGGACGGAAGGCUGACGGAGCAACGCCGCGGGGGAGAUGACGGCCCUCGGGUUGUAAAGCUCUGUUAAUCGGGACGAAAGGCCUUCUUGCGAACAGUGAGAAGGAUUGACGGUACCGGAAGAGAAAGCCACGGCUAACUACGUG